UACAGCAUGCUAUAGUUUUGUAGGAAACGAUCUCAUCAUCACCAAAAAAAUUGUUGACUGCGCAAUUCUGAAUGCCUAUUUUUUCCUUCUUUUUCUCACCGCAUGAUCCUAGAAGGAUGGGAUAAGAUUCUCAUCUGUUCCGCCAUUUUCUUUUGCCAUGGAAGUACCUCAUUUCGUUUUUGGGCUGCAACUCGGAAGAGUCGAUAGAGAAUCGAAGAGAGGGGAUAAAUGAUCAUCGCUGCCAUUACGAAGCUGCGCCUCCUGGGAACACCCAGAUUUACAAGACAAUGCCACCAGCAACCAGCACGAGUUCAAUCGUUCCAUGAUGUCAUCUCCACCGGCGUCGGCGGCCUCGACGACAUGCGAGCCAGCCUCGACCGUCUGGGAGUCGCCGUCACCCCUUCCCUCGUCACCCACGUCCUCGACUCCUAUAAGAGCAGCGGCGCCGGUGGCGGCACCAGACGGCUCCUCCGGUUCUUCUCCUGGUGUCGCAGCCGGAGCCGCGAGAGAUUGGGGGACGAGGUCUUCGAUCACGCCAUCCGAGCCUUCGCGGAGAUGAAGGACCUCGCUGCCAUGGGGAUCGUCAUCUCCGAUCUCCAGAAGGAGCGCCGGAAGAUGACAUCGGAGACGUUCGUCCUCGUGAUCGAGACCCUUGUGAGGUCGGGCAGGGAGGACGAGGCCGUCCGCCUGUUCCGGAGCAUGGAAGCCAAGCAGCUGCUGCCCCCGUCCUGCGUCCCAUCCAUCGUCCACGCGCUGUGCGCCAGGGGCCACGCUCGCAAGGCCCGGGGCAUCGUCUGGCACCACAGGGACGAGCUCCAGGUGGCGCCUGCGGCCACCGCUGCUGUCAUCCACCGUAGCCUCCUCCACGGGUGGUGCGUCCAUGGGAACGUCAGGGAGGCCCGCCGAGCCAUGGACGAGAUGAAGUCGCUGGGAACCGCCCCGGGCCUCGCCUCCUACAACGCCCUCCUCCGCUGCAUCUGCCAGAGGAACCUCACGUUCAACCCCUCCGCCCUCGUCCCGGAGGCCGCGGAUCUGAUGUCGGAGAUGCGGGCCUCCGGCGUCUCCCCGACCACCGUCAGUUUCAACAUCCUCCUGUCCUGCCUCGGCAGGGCGAGGAGGGUGAAGGAGGCCCACCGGAUCCUCCACUCCAUGCGGCAGCUGGGGGAGUCUGGAUGUGCGCCGGACUGGAUUAGCUACUAUAUCGUGGUGAGGGUUCUUUACCUCACUCGGAGGUUUGUCAGAGGCAACAGGCUCGUGGAUCAGGUGCUCGAGGAAAGGCUGUCGCCUGGAGCGAGGUUCUACCGCGGUCUUGCUGGCGUCCUCUGUGGGCUGGAGAGGGUGGAUCACGCCCUCAAGAUGUUCGAGCGGAUGAAGAGGUGCUGCGUGGAGGAGCAGGGGCCGACCUAUGAUCUGCUUAUAGAGAAGCUCUGCAGAAUUGGAAGAUUUGACGCGGGGAGGCGUCUCUGGGAGGAGGCAGCGGAGAGGGGCAUCAUUCUCCAGUGCUCCAAGGAUCUCUUAGAUCCUUCUAAGACUGAUGUUUUCAUACCAAUGGAGCCCGCGGUGAAGUUGAGUCCACGGCAGAAACGGAAGAAAGGUGCUGUUGGAACCAAGGAAAAGGUUCGAAGGGAGAAAGAACAUGCAUCCUCGUAGGUUGAGGCAGUCAAGAUGAAACCCACCUUUACUUACUGGCAAUCAGUGUUUCUCAAGGUGUUCACUCAGGUGCCUAGGCAAUAAAUACGUUGAAGCGACUAAGCGGUGCACACUGAAAUCCCAUCCUUCCACAGGAAGGAAAAGAAUAUAUGAGAAGAAUUGAUGUCUAACAGAAAGGAUGAUCAAUUAUUGCGGUGCACCAAAAGAGAAAUCACUAUUGCCAGCAUCUGGAUUUUUACCCAUAGUGAUAGGUCUCCUUGGCUCUGAAUACCCAUGAUUAACAAAUGGAGGGGCUUCCAUUUCAGAGUUUUCAUAAUCUGAAUGGUAAAACCUUGGUGAACUUGGGACACUUUCUACAUCUACUGAGUUUAACUUGUAUUUGUGGAGCAAAUGCAUGGGCGAUGAUCCUCGACUAGGUGUAUUUUCUCCACUCAUAUAUCCGGCAUCUGAGUUUGCACCUCUAAGCUUCUUUCUUUCUUUA